rnacentral:rRNA from 1 species
AGCAUAUCAAUAAGCGGAGGAAAAGAAACCUACAGGGAUUGCCCUAGUAACGGCGAGUGAAGCGGCAACAGCUCAAAUUUGAAAUCUGGCCUCGGCCCGAGUUGUAAUUUGCAGAGGAUGCUUCUGGCGCGGUGCCUUCCGAGUUCCCUGGAACGGGACGCCACAGAGGGUGAGAGCCCCGUAUGGUCGGACACCAAGCCUGUGUGAAGCUCCUUCGACGAGUCGAGUAGUUUGGGAAUGCUGCUCUAAAUGGGAGGUAAAUCUCUUCUAAAGCUAAAUACCGGCCAGAGACCGAUAGCGCACAAGUAGAGUGAUCGAAAGAUGAAAAGCACCUUGAAAAGGGGGUUAAAUAGUACGUGAAAUUGUUGAAAGGGAAGCACUUGUGACCAGACUUGGGCCGGGCGGCUCAUCAGGGGUUCUCCCCUGUGCACUCCGCCCGGCACAGGCCAGCAUCGGUUCUCGCGGGGGGAUAAGACCGCCGGGAACGUAGCACCCUCCGGGGUGUGUUAUAGCCCGGCGGACGAUACCCUCGCGGGGACCGAGGUCCGCGCUCCGCAAGGAUGCUGGCGUAAUGGUCACCAGUGACCCGUCUUGAAACACGGACCAAGGAGUCGUCCAUUAGAGCGAGCGUUUGGGUGUAAAACCCGCACGCGUAAUGAAAGUGAACGCAGGUGAGAGGUUCGGCGCAUCAUCGACCGAUCCUGAUGUUCUCGGAAGGAUUUGAGUAAGAGUUUUAACGGACGGACCCGAAAGACAGUGAACUAUGCUUGUAUAGGGUGAAGCCAGAGGAAACUCUGGUGGAGGCUCGCAGCGGUUCUGACGUGCAAAUCGAUCGUCAAAUAUGAGCAUGGGGGCGAAAGACUAAUCGAACUGUCUAGUAGCUGGUUACCGCCG